GUUGACCUCGGAUCAGGUAGGGAUACCCGCUGAACUUAAGCAUAUCAUAG
rnacentral:rRNA from 1 species